rnacentral:rRNA from 1 species
AGUGAACGCUGGCGGUAGGCCUAACACAUGCAAGUCGAACGGCAGCACAGUAAGAGCUUGCUCUUACGGGUGGCGAGUGGCGGACGGGUGAGGAAUACAUCGGAAUCUACUUUUUCGUGGGGGAUAACGUAGGGAAACUUACGCUAAUACCGCAUACGACCUACGGGUGAAAGCAGUGGAUCUUCGGACCUUGCGCGAUUGAAUGAGCCGGUGUCGGAUUAGAUAGUUGGCGGGGUAAAGGCCCACCAAGGCGACGAUCCGUAGCUGGUCUGAGAGGAUGAUAGGCCACACGGGAACGGAGACAGGGUCCAGACUCCUACGGGAGGCAGCAGUGGGGAAUAUUGGACAAUGGGCGCAAGCCUGAUCCAGCCAUCCCGCGUGGGUGAAGAAGGCCUUCGGGUUGUAAAGCCCUUUUGUUGGGAAAGAAAAGCAGCAGGUUAAUACCCCGCGGUUCUGACGGUACCCAAAGAAUAAGCACCGGCUAACUUCGUG